UACGUAGGGACCGAGCGUUGUCCGGAAUUACUGGGCGUAAAGCGCGUGUAGGCGGUCGGGCAAGUCGGAUGUGAAAGCCCCGGGCUCAACCCGGGAAGUGCAUUCGAUACUGCUUGGCUAGAGUACUGGAGAGGAUGGUGGAACUCUCGGUGUAGAGGUGAAAUUCGUAGAUAUCGAGAAGAACACCGGCGGCGAAGGCGGCCAUCUGGACAGAUACUGACGCUGAGACGCGAAAGCGUGGGGAGCAAACAGG
rnacentral:rRNA from 1 species